AGUGAACGCUGGCGGUAGGCCUAACACAUGCAAGUCGAACGGCAGCACAGAGGAGCUUGCUCCUUGGGUGGCGAGUGGCGGACGGGUGAGGAAUACAUCGGAAUCUACUCUGUCGUGGGGGAUAACGUAGGGAAACUUACGCUAAUACCGCAUACGACCUACGGGUGAAAGCAGGGGAUCUUCGGACCUUGCGCGAUUGAAUGAGCCGAUGUCGGAUUAGCUGGUUGGCGGGGUAAAGGCCCACCAAGGCGACGAUCCGUAGCUGGUCUGAGAGGAUGAUCAGCCACACUGGAACUGAGACACGGUCCAGACUCCUACGGGAGGCAGCAGUGGGGAAUAUUGGACAAUGGGCGCAAGCCUGAUCCAGCCAUACCGCGUGGGUGAAGAAGGCCUUCGGGUUGUAAAGCCCUUUUGUUGGGAAAGAAAUCCAUCUGGUUAAUACCCGGAUGGGAUGACGGUACCCAAAGAAUAAGCACCGGCUAACUUCGUGCCAGCCGCCGCGGUAA
rnacentral:rRNA from 1 species